UACAGAGGUCCCGAGCGUUGUUCGGAUUCACUGGGCGUAAAGGGUGCGUAGGUGGCAUAGAGAGUUUGAUGUGAAAGCUCAGGGCUUAACCCUGAAAUGGCAUUGAAUACUGCUGUGCUGGAGGUUUGGAGGGGGGGACUGGAAUUCUUGGUGUAGCAGUGAAAUGCGUAGAUAUCAAGAGGAACACCAGUGGCGAAGGCGAGUCCCUGGACAACACCUGACACUGAGGCACGAAAGCUAGGGGAGCAAACAGG
rnacentral:rRNA from 1 species